GUGGCGCAAUGGUAGCGCGUCCGACUCCAGAUCGGAAGGCUGCGUGUUCAAAUCACGUC
rnacentral:tRNA from 1 species